UACAGAGGUCUCAAGCGUUGUUCGGAUUCAUUGGGCGUAAAGGGUGCGUAGGCGGCGCGGUAAGUCGGGUGUGAAAUCUCGGGGCUUAACUCCGAAACUGCAUUCGAUACUGCCGUGCUUGAGGACUGGAGAGGAGACUGGAAUCUACGGUGUAGCGGUGAAAUGCGUAGAUAUCGUAAGGAAGACCAGUGGCGAAGGCGGGUCUCUGGACAGUUCCUGACGCUGAGGCACGAAGGCCAGGGGAGCAAACGGG
rnacentral:rRNA from 1 species